CAAAGAUUAAGCCGAAAGUCCAAGGUCCGAAAAUUUAACUCCUUGUCUCAAAGACUAGCGAUGACUCUGAAUUCCUUUUGCCGACCGGCUGGUCUUGCGCUGGAGGCUUAUCUCUCAAUGUCUGCCCUAUCAACUUUCGAUGGAAGGUGAUCUGCCGACCAUGGUUGUAACGGGUAACGGAGAAUCACGGUUCGAUUCCGGACAGGGAGCCUGAUAAACGGCUACCACAUCCAAGGAAGGCAGCAUGCGCGCAAAUUACCCACUCCCGGCACGGGGAGGUAGUGACGAAGAAUAACAGUGCUGGGCUUCAAGUCCGGUAAUUGGAAUGAGUACACUUUAAAUCCUUUAACGAGGAUCUAGUGGAGGGCAAGUCUGGUGCCAGCAGCCGCGGUAAUUCCAGCUCCACGAGCAUGUACGUAAGUUGUUGCAGUUAAAAAGCUCGUAGUUGGAUCUCAGGCUUGUGGCCGGUGGUCCGCUCGAUACGGGUGUGCACUGCCGUGCCCGGUCUACGUCUGGUCUCACGUCUGCAGUGCCCUUAACCGGGUGCUGCAGAAUGCCAGAAAGUUUACUCUGAAAAAAUUAGAGUGCUUAAAGCAAGCCGUUUGUGCUUGAAUACUGUUGCAUGGAAUAAGCUUGUCUCAAAGAAUAGGACCGAAAGUCGGAGGUCCUAAUUUUGUUGGUUUUCGGAGAUCGAGGGUAAUGAGUAAGAGGGACAGACGGGGGCAUUCGUGGGAUUUGCGCCGUUUAGAGGUGAAAUUCUUGGGRAUCGGGCGGAAAACACACAGGACGGAAACAACUGCGAAAGCAUUUGCCAAAGGAUGUUUUUCAUUAAUCAAAGAACGAAAGUCAGGAGGUUCGAAGACGAUCAGAUACCGUCGUAGUUCUGACCAUAAACGAUGCCAACUGGCGAUCCGCCGUAGUCUGGCUUAAAGGACUCGGCGGGCAGCCUCCGGGAAACCUAAGUCUAUGGGUUCGGGGGGAAGUAUGGUUGCAAAGCUGAAACUUAAAGGAAUUGACGGAAGGGCACCACCAGGAGUGGAGCCUGCGGCUUAAUUUGACUCAACACGGGAAAACUCACCCGGCCAGGACACCGUUAGGAUUGACAGACUGAGAGCUCUUUCUUGAUUCGGUGGGUGGUGGUGCAUGGCCGUUCUUAGUUGGGGGAGCGAUUUGUCUGGUUAAUUCCGAUAACGAACGAGACUCUAACAUGCUAAAUAGACGGGCGAUCCCGUUGUGGGUCGACCCCAUUUGCUUCUUAGAGGGACAAGUGGCGUUCCUAGCCACGCGAAAUUGAGCAAUAACAGGUCUGUGAUGCCCUUAGAUGUCCGGGGCCGCACGCGCGCUACAAUGAGGGACGCAGUGU
rnacentral:rRNA from 1 species